GCGACCCCAGUCAGGCGGGACUACCCGCUGAGUUUAA
rnacentral:rRNA from 1 species